AGUGAACGCUGGCGGUAGGCCUAACACAUGCAAGUCGAACGGCAGCACAGUAAGAGCUUGCUCUUACGGGUGGCGAGUGGCGGACGGGUGAGGAAUACAUCGGAAUCUACUUUUUCGUGGGGGAUAACGUAGGGAAACUUACGCUAAUACCGCAUACGACCUACGGGUGAAAGCAGGGGAUCUUCGGACCUUGCGCGACUGAAUGAGCCGAUGUCGGGUUAGCUAGUUGGCGGGGUAAAGGCCCACCAAGGCGACGAUCCGUAGCUGAUCUGAGAGGAUGAUCAGCCACACUGGAACUGAGACACGGUCCAGACUCCUACGGGAGGCAGCAGUCGGGAAUAUUGGACAAUGGGCGCAAGCCUGACCCAGCCAUACCGCGUGAGUGAAGAAGGCCUUCGGGUUGUAAAGCCCUUUUGUUGGGAAAGAAAAGCAGCAGGUUAAUACCCCGCUGUUCUGACGGUACCCAAAGAAUAAGCACCGGCUAACUUCGUG
rnacentral:rRNA from 1 species